GAGGAACCACAGAAAAUCGCUGUUUGCGGUGAAAACGGAUACGAGCGGGCGCCGCAGACCGGCGGCUGCUACAAGUUUCACUGGGUCACGAAGGCCUGGGACGCCGCGCGGGCCACGUGUCGUGACGAGGGGGCAGACCUGGCUAUCAUCAACAGCGACACCGAAUCUGAAGCACUCCGUGAAAUUUACGACAAGUAUUAUAAUAAGAUCGUUGGUGCUUAUGAUCCCACUUACGCUAUAAUUGGCUAUAAAGAAGUACGUGGAGAGGGCUGGGUGACUAUAAACGGUGACUCGCUGGCCGCCGCAGGCUUCGAAGAAUGGGGGCACUGGGAGCCUAACAAUGCGAGAGGCCUCGAGCAAUGCGGCUGCGUCUUCCAUAAGAACGGUCUACUCAACGACUGCGAAUGCUUUAAGCCUUUUCCGUUCUUUUGCGAGAUUCCUGUG